rnacentral:rRNA from 1 species
UACGGGGGGAGCAAGCGUUGUUCGGAUUUACUGGGCGUAAAGGGCGCGUAGGCGGUCGUGACAAGUCACUUGUGAAAUCUCCGGGCUUAACUCGGAACGGUCAAGUGAUACUGUCGGACUAGAGUACAGAAGGGGCAACUGGAAUUCUCGGUGUAGCGGUGAAAUGCGUAGAUAUGGGGGAGGAACACCGGUGGCGAAGGCGGCCACCUGGACGGUAACUGACGCUGAGACGCGAAAGCGUGGGGAGCAAACAGG